GGCGGGAGUCGGGCGGACGUAGUCAUCGCCAACCCGGUCAGGUCCUGACGGAAGCAGCCGCAACGAUUUCGCUGCGGGUCGUCCCGGCUCCCACCUUU
rnacentral:SRP_RNA from 4 species